AACUUGGACUUGGAAGCAAGCUAAAGCUACCUUCUGGAUGGAGAGAGUCCUUCUACUUCUAAGCCCUGGCUUUAUAAAGAUAUAGUAGUUAUGCUUUAGCAGGUACUAAGUCACCCCAACGAGUGGAAUGAAAUGAAAGGAGCGCAAUGAAAUGGUAAGAAAAUGAAAUGGAGCGAGUAGUAUGAAGCUACGUCUUCCUAUUCAGAUAUUGGUCUUUUCCGCUUUCGAUUGCUCUGUAGGGGGCUUCCGAAGCGUAGAAAUCAAACUCCUCGGGUGCGUCUGCGCUCAGUCUCUGUCUGAAGGUAGAGGUAUGGCCGUGUCCACUUCCAAAUAAAUCUCAAUCUAGCUUCAAAGGGUAGCUUUCUUUCUGGUCAGUCUUCGUUCUUACUUAAUAAUUUUCAGUUACCUGAAUCCUUUGAGAGAGACACCAGGCUCUAUAGGUAGCGAGCCGAAAUCAGUAAGAAAAGGAAACUUUCAAAUGCAAUUUUCAGAUAGCUAUAGCUCCAAAGGCAGAAUCGGGAUUAUAAGGUUACCAAUAUCGGGGCAAACCCCGUUCAUACUUUCUUCCAAACCUCCUACAUAUGCUACCUAGCUUAACGCCCUCUUCUUCCCCGAGCCGCCGAUAGGCCAGUGAAAGCCUUUCGUCCACAGCAUCUAACUGAGCUGACCCGCCUUAGUUUCCCAGAUCCACUCAUUGACUUAAGCACUUAGUACAGCAUAUUACGUACUUGAACCUAACAAGGGAAUAACCCCUCUAUUCGGGCGAAGGAAGAUUCAUCCAUUCGAUCUCGCCUGAAUAAGAGCAAAAAGAAGAAGCAGGAGGAUAAUUCUUUGCGCUUGAGCCCUUGACAAAAGAUAUUCACCUUUGAGAGCUGCACUGGGGGCCCACCUCAGAACCAAUGUACGUACUACUUCCCGUGUCAUGGCCAAUGCACUAUGAUCCGUGGCAAAAACUAUCUAUCUUGUAAACACUGCAAGUUUCCUUGCCGAACAUCUCUUUUCCUUAUGAGACUCGAAAAUAAACUGAUUAAAUCAUCACAUCAAUAAGUAGUCUUUCAAUUCCACUCUAGUUCACCUUACGCUAUUCUUUUGCUCCUCUUCCAUGAUGAAUUAAAGUAAGCGCAGCUAUCCCCUAUAUGUGUAAGCCCUUCCAAGCCAAGGGGAUACUCUCUCAGGGGCACACCUGGAGCCAGACCACCCGGUCUUUCUUUGUUCGAAGUCAGUGUUCUUACGGCAAAGCUGGAUGCCCGAUCUUGAUUUCCCGAGCUCUUGGUCCUUGGUCCUACUUCUGCGGUUAGGCAAGCUUGACUCUUAAGAGACUGACUUGGGCAUAGAAUCUCAUUCCCACUCGAUCCACUGAAGCUAUAUUGGCAUAUCUCUUUUACCCUACCGGUGAAAGCCCGCAAGCCUUUUUUAGUUAAUGGACGGCUUCGAAAAGAGAAUUGUUUGAUCCCGCCCAGGGGCUAAAGCUCAUCGGCCCAUUUUAGUAAGGGGACGCCCCACACAUUCCCUUCCUACGGGGAAACCUCAUGAGCCCAUUUCCACUAAUAGACAAGCCACAAUUCGAAAGUUUUUCAUUCUCCUAUACCGGAGAAACUAAUCAAAAAUAGGCUUUUUCAAGGCUCGUCCUAACCUAAAAGCAGGUCGAUGCCUAAAAACACGGGGUUGAGUCAAAUGUAUUAUUUCAAUUUGAAGGUAUUUUUUUCCAUAAAUUUGAGCCCUAAAACAGGCUAUCGUAACUCUAUUAAGGGCUCCCAUUCGCAUCCCAGUCCGCUUGAUUUAUAAAGAAUUUUCACCGAAAUGACCAGAUCUCUCAUACGUGGGUUGCCCGCGUAUCCUCGUAGAUUCUCCUCGUUCAUAGAUAGGUGAGAACAAAGAUUGGUCUCAGUUAGGAAAAGUUAUUCAAUAAUCUAUUCGCGAAAGACUUGAGUCACUGGUACCCAAACCCGUACCCAACGGCAUCAGUAAAUUAGAUCCUCAGAACCGAACUCGCUCCUACAUAUCGAACUCUCAAAGGAAGUUAUUAGGAUUGGCCCAUUUUGUCCCAAAGAGACCUUCCCAACCAGCCAUCCCCUAGCUUGAAGGAGGAUUGAUGAACCGCCUGGGGAACCAUUCCUCAAUAAAGACCAUCAAUGAUGACGACUCCCGUACAAAGAAUUGGGCGGAAGGUCCCAUCCCUGGAUACCAGGUACAUGGCAACAAGGAAAGCGGCUAAUUGGCUCCACCUCUGACCACCAUCUUGGGUACCAUGAUUGUCGUUGUUUUAAUACCGCUUAAAGCAUUCUAGAUGAAAAAAAAAGAAUAGAACGAAAUAAGACUACUUCGUAUUUGGUCACUAUCAUGAAGUCAACAGCACACUUCCCGCAGCUAGCCCAGGGACAGCAACCUAAACCGAACUCGGUCUUUGAAGUUCCGGUCACAGUGACUCUUACGAAAAGAGAAACUUUUCUUUUUAGCUUGACCAGAUACACCAGCGGGAGCUUCAAUCGCAAUCGUCAUAAUCCAAUAGGCGUAUUUUCCUAUAUGAAUCCCUUUUCUAUAAGUUAGUAACCUCGUAUUUUGAAUAGGCAACACGCGCACAAGCAAACAAAGGAACUGGGUCACGAUGGGAACGGUCAAUCAACGUUUUCCGGUUCGAGUAGGGACGGUCGUAUCGUUCACCACAACUAUCUGGUCUUUGAUUUGGUUAAGUCAGUGAUUGAAAUCAAAGCAAGGUCCGUGACCGUGAAAGUCAAUGAAGUCGCGGGGUCAGCAGGUCAAUCCGUCGGUCUAGGGAUAGGUUGGAAAGCAGUUAAUCGAUAUCUGGAAUUAGUUCCCCUACUUUUCCUUAAUCGGUAUCAUGGGUCAGAGUAAUUGAGCCUUUCUUUUGUAGUAAGUCUAUUGGCCAAUAGCCUCAUUUCUUGGCUUUGUUGUGCCCAAGGUAAGGUGUCUUAUCUUAGCCCCUCCCCCGGUGGUCGAGUUUCAGUUUUUUCCUUUUUAUAGGUUCUAUUAACAUCAAUUCACUGGGUUGGCUUACUACUUGGAAUUGCUUUGACAUCAUGGGUAUAGUUUAGCAGAAGCAGCUCCAUGAGAAGGAUGAGGAAGGGCAUCUGCCCAUAUAAUGAAAGCAGAUCGAAAGACUAAUGUUCAAAGCGCUACGCACCUCCUAGAACUCUUCUUUUCUUGGAGUCCGAGCUCAGAGGUCCCUUUUAUCGGCUUAUUCCACUUCCGUAGGGACUCUUCCAAGUCAUCCGAUCCUGCAGCUUUCAAGAGGAAUUCGCAGAGCAGGACACUAGUAGGAGGAUCACAGACUCAAAGCCUGAGAAGGCGGGAAAAGCCUUCCCCAAGAAGUGGAGAGAGUCGCUCACGAACAGAGUUGCGAGAUAGUCGAGAGAAGAGACCACUACCAAUGGAAGACAUCACGACUGAAAAUCAGUCAAGUUUCAGAAGUGCGGAUCAAGAAGUAUAAUCCAAAGUAUAUGCAGGCCGACUUUGCAGACGCUGUGUCACUCUCACAGUGUUGUGUGUCCGAGAUCGGGGAACCGCCUUCGUUUGAAGACGCAAAGGGUAAUGCCGAGUGGGAGAACGCAAUGCGCGAGGGGAUUUCCGCCCUAAAGAAGAAGGAGACAUGGGACCUUGUUCCAUUGCCUGCUGGAGUCAAGCCAAUUUCUUGCAAGUGGGUAUACAGGGUGAAGCGACGAAGUGAUGGAUCAGUCGAACAGGCGCGAUUGGGUGUGAGUGCUUUUGUUGACUGCAGCAAGAAAGUCUGUUUAGCUUGUGUAGGGGCUAUCUUCAUUUUUCCACUGAGAGACUCGAGGCUCAUGUAGAUAGCAUUCGCUAUAGUUCUUUGAAAGGAAGUGUAAACCGAACUGAGAAAGUUUCAAGAAAGAGGCGAAGUAGUGGUCUUCCAUGAAAUGGAAACGGGCGGCAUCGUUCCAAUCCAUAAAUGAAUAAAUGAAAUCACUACGAAAGAGGGGAUCCUCCCUAAGCUAAAGACCAACUAGACUUCGGAUUUCCUAGUCAACAAUGGAUCUUGCCUUGGGGCAGUUUCCAUCUAUCCUGGCAACACACCCUUAACCAUUGGCAUUGUGGGCUCAUCCCAAAGCAACUGAACUGCCUUAAGAAAGAAAAGGGCUUGAGCGCGGAAUUUCCGUAUUUUAUAGAAAGAGAGAGUGAUAACAGGAACUCUAGAAAGCAAGGGCGGACUUUCAAACAAAAGAAAGGAAAGGCACCCGACCCGAGACGAUAGCCAUAGCACGAUGCUUGCUGACAACGCAUUAGAAGAAAUAGCUUGAAGUAAGGCACCUGACCUCUACCCUCAGAUUUCGUUUUAGGUUGUAACUCUGCCCUAGCGCCCAUCCUAUCGCUUCCAUAAGAUAAGAGAUAAGAGUCGGAAUCGCCGAUUAUAACUAUUAAAUAAAGGUACCCGCUCGACCUCUAGCGAGAAAGAAGCGUAAGCAUUAGAUAAAGUAGCGGGAAGGGGUCUCUUCGUCUUUCCCAGUAGAAUCUGAAAGUGGAUUUCUCUCCUCCUGACCUUGACACUUGACAUAAUAUGUUUGUGGGAAGGUAAGAGUACCGUUCGGAUGCCUUGGUAGUUGAAAAGGCAAACUCGGAGGUAAGACAUUACCAUACGUCUUAAGAGAAGCAGCAGAGGAAGAGAUUCUUUCGUACUCAAGGGUUGAUACUGUCCUUCCUUCUGAUACAGAAUCAGAUACUCUUUCAUCUGCUGGUAUUGCUACUGCCCUGUUCUCCGCUAUUGAAGGAAGAAGCCCUGCGCUUACUCGACUCGAUCAGCAGUGGAUUAGGUAGAGAAGAUAGCUGUCAACGACUCCGCUCUUGUUGAAUAAGCUGGUAUUUAAUUCCUGUGUUAUCAAUGAGUCAAUGCCCGGACCUGGCUCCAGGAUAGAGAAGAGAUAGGCUCUUCCCUCUGUUGUCACAAGGAUUGUUGACUCAGCCUGGAGAGAUUCUUUUGCAGGAACGAGCUAAUAGAGGGUUGCUUUAGAGCGAAGAUCAGUUGAACUACAAUCCCAGCGAAAUAAGGGAUCUUGCAGAGAUUUUGAUUCUUUUUUAUCUCCGCAUCGAGUAUUUAUGAAAGAUAGGGGGGGGUUAUACCCAAUCGUGAUAGAUUGGCGAAUUAGGCGAAUUAUUGGGCCAGGGAGUGAGGGUUACUCCCUUUUUUGGUUGUGGUGUUGUAUUCCCACCCUGCCUCGGAUUUUGGGAAAGACAGCCAUUGAUUGAGUUGAGUUUGGGAAGGUGGUCUCCUAUAUAGGAGAAAGACUGAUUUUAGCGGACAUUGCUUCUACGUAGUUUCGUACUCUUGCAGUGAAAUAGGCAAAAAGUCUUAUAUCAACUCGAACUCCGAGUGAAGAAGAAGAAAAUGACACUAGCUAAGCGAGAAGAAACUGCAAUUUCAUAAGCAAAGAAUUCAACCGGCAUAAAAUGGUUAUAAGUCAUCAAGGCGUCCGCAACAGAUCUAUCAUAAAUAAGGUUAUUUCAUAUCCCGUCCCUCGAGGACAAAGACCUUCUCCCUGACAGUAGCGGUAGCGCCAUAUACCGUCUCUUUGGCUUAGAGUCGCUUCAACGGCUGAGCUGCUUAGGCUUGGGGUCCUUCCCUAAAGAAAGGAAUGAGAACCAUCAGAUGUCAAAGACACCAGAGCAACUUCAAGUAGCCAUCCAAAUCAAGAAGGAUUGGACACUAACUUGGUGGGAUCAAUUCAUGAUAUUGUUGAAGAGAACAUACAGAGAGAGAUGCAGAGAUUACUUUGAUACAAUACGCCUAGUCCAAGCACUUGCAAUUGCACUCUUGCUAGGCCUGCUUUGGUGGAAAUCUAACUAUAGAACAGAAGCUCAACUUAGAGACCAGGCAAUAGGAGAGUUUUUUGGAGCUGCUGUUAUGAGCAUGAAAAGAGCAGGCAUGAUUGCUUCUUUGGUAUUGAUGUUAUUUCUUCUCACUGGAGGUUACUAUGUUCAGGUAUCGAAAUACCAGAUAAAAGAAAAAUUGCACAAUUUAUACAGUAGUAUGAAAUUUGAUUUCCGGGUUCUUAAAAGGGGGAUCCUCCCUAAGCUAAAGACCAACUAGACUUCGGAUUUCCUAGUCAAGAAUCGCUCGUGAGUCCUACCCAGGACUCCUUCACUCUAGCUCCGUUCGUGUACCAAUUUCAGUGGUUGAGUUUCGCACUCCCGUCAUCUUCCUCUUCUUUUUUUUUAAAGUCUCAUCCCAAAUAGUCAUCAGAAACAAGCUAGCUGAGCAUUGAUUUGGGUGUGGGUGGGGUAUGAUGCCCCAACAGAUGGAUCUCCAUCAACAUGAGAGUUUUCCGAGUGAAUGAUCGAGUGACUUUCUCUUGUCGGCCAGGAACUGUUUACCUGUGUUGUCCACUUUGCUUUAAUGCGUUAUGGAUAGUCCGCUACUGUACUGACUGUACUAGGUAUUCUAGCUCGCCAGCAGAGGCGAAAUCUAUAUUCAUUUUCUGUUUUUCAAGCAUCAGUUAUGAUGCAGAUUUAGUGAGGACCGUUGCUAAGGUCCACGUAGCCAUGCAUUUCUUUCCCAAUGCCUAUACCUAUCUCAAAGCCUCGCACGGGCGUUUUCUAGAAAAGAUGGCGAUGCCUAGGGACGAAGGAGUUAACCUUGAAUAAGGUCUUUUUUAGCUUAGCUAAUUCGAAGGUAAUAACGGGAUAAGUUUUUUUUUCGAGUCAUCCUACUUCAAAAAGUAGAAAUCUAUUUCAGACUCUGCUUCCACGGUGGACACAGGUCUUGCCUAUUCUGGCAGCUGUCUUGUUUUCGGAGUUUGUUUCGCUCUAUCUUCAUAGAAAGAUGGCUUGAUUAGUCAUAAAGCUAUGGCUUUCUUUGUACCGGACAAGGUCUAUCUAUCCCUCUACCGAGUUAGUUGGAACGAAGUCCCAGCAUGAAUCUCCUAACCGGUGGAUGGGCAUUCGAUCUACGUAAGAUGAAGUUAGCCAAGUGUUAAGCAUAUGCAGAAAGGGCAAGCCUAGUCACUUCAAAGUGAGUGUGAACAUCUUAUCCUGUAGGCCUAAAGUAAAUAGACGCAAUAUCCCUUCUUCUAUCGAGCCUGCUUAGAGCUUAUAGAAUCUCCCAGACUGUAUAUAGCCCGCCGCAUAUUGUUUUUACUCCCAUGGUGAAUACCAAUCCCUGUAAUAAAAAUGAAAGUACUAACAAGCUAACUUGGAACGCUCCCCUCUUCCCCUUUUAGUCGGGUUCGGGUUAAGCUCCGAUUUAAUGCAGUCCCGGUCACCGAGGUAACAUUGAUCUCAUACUUAAACCCCUGGAUUCAUUCCUAAGGAAUAGGGAUCUUAGAAGUGAGUGUGAUCAAGACAGUUCAAGAAAGUGCUUACAUACUCUCUUAAGGCUCGUUCCUGUACCUUACCCAAGGUUCACUCACUCGAAAGAUCUUCUUUCAUUCUCCAAGAGUAAGGAUAGAAGUACAAAAUACGAAGGUCCGAGGAACCAAGCCUUGAGACCGAAGGUCGACUAGAGAGUCCGCCUAGCCAGGAAUGGGGUUGGUGUCAUCUCCCGUGCGCUAGCUGUGCCUUUGCCGGAUGUUUAUUCGCCCACUCCAGAGGCCUAAGAGCCAGGGCUUUUCUUUUGAAACGAUUUCGACCAAUCCCAAUCGCAAAAAGUGGAAACUCUUGCUCUGGAUCAUAUAAAUGGCCCCGUGGAGCGAAACUCGUUGAUUUGGCUACAAACUACUACCAGUUAGAUCUCUUGUUUCUAUUUUAUUAUUCAUAUUCACCAGUACCAGUAAAAUCAAUUCAACCGGAUCAAUAGAUAUUGGAAAAAAGACCACGAUGGCGGCCCUCCACCACUUUCAUUGAGUGAUCGAUUAUAAAGCACGUUAUUGCAUCUUUGCCAGGGUAGCUCAUUCUUUUUGUCAUUCCGAAUAGACUCUAUCGCCCAACAAGGCCGAAGCCUUACUUACUUACCCAUUUGUAGAUCGAGCUUCGACGCCAGCUAUAUUUGUAAGUUGGAAGUACCGCAGAUUUAGCAGCUCCAGGUGAUAUUUGCUUUAGUCGGGAUGAUUUGUCGUAGCUAGACGGAUGGCCGCUUCUUCCUGAUCUUAUUGGGCUUUCAGAGAACCGACCAAAAAGAAGGGAAUCAGCCACUCUAAAUAGAGCCAAAAAAGAUGAAAAAGAAGUACCCUUGCCCCCACCCCCGGCUUAUAUAUGUGCACGAACCGGGACUGCUUCUAUCUCAGCAACUACCCUCGGCUCCUCAAUCAACAACUUCCGGAGAACUAAGAGGAAGUCUCAGCUAUAUUGAACAAAAGAAUCAUCCGAUUCGGCCUUCGCCUCGACUUCCGUUGAAUAGCCUGACUUGCCUAUGCACCAAUUUCGGUUAUCACCCUAUAAGAUCCACACCCGCGAAAGCCAAUGGGGCAUACUCACUCCUUCAUGAAAGGAAAGAGCGGAACAAAGCUCUAAACCCCUUCAAUUACAUAUUAUGAGGUUACAGAGUUCGAUCUUCUCCUUGUCAUCCAAGCCGAAUCUUUCAUUCCGCCAAUUGCUAAAGCAAGAAUGUGAACCAUCACUUCAGUUGAAGUCUUCGAGCCUUAUUCAUAUACCAGAAACCCAUAGAACAACAAGACAUAGGUUUCAACGCUGAAUCAUUACUAUAGUACCAUACCGAAAGAAGCAGACCUGCCCCUGGAAAGACGAAAUAUGGAUCCCUUCACCGAUUCUUCCUUGACCGAAGUAUGCUACAACCUCGGUCCGGGCAUAGGAAAUCUAUGACGUAUCGGAUGUAGUUUCUAUCUAUAGUCUUAUCUACUUCGAAAGCCCUAGCAAAGACUGCCUUAUAGGCAUAAGAUCCAUACCCGGAUAGAGGACUUUUUCCUUUCAAUUACUCUUAUCUAAACAGGGAUAUUUGAAGUCGUAACUCCUUUUUGACCUAAGGGGGAAGCUGGAAUUCCUGGGGUAUGAGGUACGGAUAUAGAAAGUGUGCUGCGGAUUCGAGAACAGGCAUAGAGGCCUUCGAAGAGAGAUCCUGUUGCGUGCUCAUAUAAAGGGAGGUCUAUGGUAAAGGGUUUAAGUCCAAUCUGCGUAGCUCUUCGGUGUGGCUUUCUUUAAAGAGACUAUCCUCCUCUGCAGCUAUCUCCUACAAGCUUGUUCUUAGGUUGUAUAGUAAUGGUCAACAAGCGUGGUCAUAAGCAAAGCUUAGUCCAUGUUUUCGUAGCCGAAGAAAAUUUCCUUUGUUAUAGGCUUGUCCUUCUGGUAGCUCUUAGGGUUGUUGAAAGUGUGCAAUAAGAUAAGGAAGCAGGAUCAGGAUCCGUAGCAAUCUUGUGAAGCUGUGAACUCAUGGGCUCUUAGUCCUAAUCCUAAUGCAAGAGGAUCACAUAAGGGAUCCUCUUCUAUUGAAAGCUAGGGAUUUCGCUGCUAAGCAAGCCAUUGACCAGUUCCGGAAGUAGUAAGCCUUCUUUCUUUUUUGUUCUUAGUCUGCUAUGAGUGUAGUUCGUGGUUCCAGCUUUAAGAGAAUAUCUUAUCUUGGUGUCUUGACGCUUCUCUGAUCCCAUUCCUGAUAGGAACUGCUUGUAGUCUCGGAACCUAGCGCCUCUUUAUGUUCCCAAGGGUUCUUUGAUAAUCGAUAGUGGCUGUUGCCAACUCCUUCUGCUCUGCUUGCCUUCUCUUUUUCUCUGUCUCUUUCUCGGCCUUCGUGCCUUUGGAAAGAAGGCACUUCACUUCCUUUAAUGAACGCUAGGAAAAGAAAGAACACUACAGGAGUCACAACCGAAAACAAAGAAAGAAAAACAGCUAGCAUUCCAAAAGCAAGCAGAAAGAUAGAAUGCAGAAAGCAUUUCCUGGUCUUGCUCUUGACUUGUUUCCUUUCAGAGGCUCAACAAAAGGACAACUGAAAGCGUUCUCAGAAGACGAUGUUCAUUGGAAGAAGACCUUCCAACACUCGCGAGCCGAUAUAGUGACAGUGACACAAAUCCCUUUGAGAAAAUAGUGGAAGCAGCAAUAGUAGACAAAGACUCCGCUUUCAGAAUGACUGAACCCGCCGCAAGAAUAGUUGAAAAGAAAGGGCUUUUUUCUCUACUUGCUCUAUAGAAACCAAAGGAAAGCCUAUAUUAAGACUUUAGAAGAGUGUUUGCUUCUAACUCUAGGAGAAAGACAGGGGAGACCCCCGCUUCUAUCUUUUUUAAUAAGAGUCAGCGGCGCAGGUCUUGAAUUCAUUCCUUUUUUAUGGAAUGUGUUCCUACAAAUACUAAUUCAAAAGGGAAGCUUUCUUUCAUCUAAGCCUAGGAUUGAUCUUCCACGUAUGUCCGCUUAGCUUGUUUCGCAGUCUUGACAUCCCUUCUAGCUAUCUAGAAAGACCCUUAGAGCACGAGGUUGAAGGCUAUAGCGCUCAACCGGAGGAUUUCCCUAGGGACUAAGCUGACCCAUUUUGUUAGAACAAGGAAAACCCGAGCUCAAAUGAAGUAAAGGCCCUGUCUUUCUGCCGGUCGCAGCUAAGCAUUCGUUCCCAGUCGACAAGAGAAAGAACUGCUUCUUUUCUUCAACAAAAGAAAAGACCGCCAUGCGCCAUUCUUCUUUUUUUCCUGGGAGAAGAAGUAAAGGCUAGGUCCCUGUGACACUGCCCCAAAUAGCUGGAUCUGACCGAACGAACCUAAUCUAAUAAGGGGAAUGCCCCUUCGCGCCCAUUCAAAGAAAGCAAAGCAAAGAAAAAAGAGAAUUCCGUAUAGUAAAGAGAAGAGCUUGUUGAAGCAGUGCUCUAACCGGACCCUAGCUGUUCGAACUUCCCCCCACCGCUAAAACCAAAGAUUUUGAGAUUCUCCGCUUCGGCUUAGGCCUCUUCCGCACCCCCAUUGCUUUCAAGAACUAUUCCUGUAUAUGGCCACCCUCGCUUAAAGGCAUGUCCUAGUAGUUUCAUUCAAUCAACCCUCUCCUUUUAGUCGUUAAUUCCAUCAAAGCUUGACGGAGAUCUAGCACUGGAAUAUUCCAGUUGAAGUCUUUCUAGUCUGGUUUCAUCCACCAAGGAAAGUGAUCUUGCUUUCUCUACAGAAGUAGUAAGCUAUGUCCGCCCUUCGGAAACAAGUACUCGAGAGAACAGCCCGAAAUAAAACCAUAAUGAAUGAAGCUUUCUAAGCAACUUGAUAAAGGAACAAAACCUACAUGAAAAACACAAGCGAAAUGAAUCUUCACCUCUUCCUGUCUCUCCAACUAGUAGUGGGAACAUCAAUCCACUCUUGCUCUCACCUCCACCUGUGACCUGCCACCGAACUAGCGAACUAAAGGCUUUAGCAACCUCUCUUUCUUGUUUGUAGCGAUUUCACUUUCUUGUCAACCUUGGAAGCAGCUAUUUCUAAUUCUGACUGUCUUGCCAUCCUUUCUUAGGGUCUCAUUUACCUGUCUUUUCUAAUAUUCCAUGCUUUUAGCUCAAAGGUUAUGACCUCAUACAAGGUAACCGGACCUGUCUUUAGCUUCCUCAAACUCAGGAUUCGGCUAGCAGUCAAUUCCCAAUACCUUAAGAUAUCCCGAUCCCUCUCUUAUUAAAUCGAGUUAGAAGAUCUCUUGAGUAAGCCGAUUACCUUCUGACUUGACUCUUGAUGACGAAAAACACGCUGUUUUAGAAAGUUGUCCGAUUUCAAUUGACGUCUAGGAAGGGAAAUUGACUUGAUCCCAAAAUCACGGGCACCGAUUGAAUCAAUGGUUACGAUAUGCCCAAGCAGGGAAGAAGAAGGGGAAGGAAGUGACAUACUUAAUGUACCCGCUGUUUUUUCCAUAAGAGCUGGUGCUCUAUAUAAUAUGCCACAUGUCGGUGAAAGGAAGGUUUGAAAUAAUUCAGCGCUACGCCCGUAAUGCUUUCGAUCUUUCCAUCACAGAAUAGGCUUUGACGAAGCCAAUCACACAUAAAGAAAAGGAAUGGGACAAGUUUUUUGACUCCUUUGCCCCAAAUCCCGGUAUUUUUGAAAGUAGCACGUUCCCGGAUAUCCCCGUAGAGGGUGCGUAGCAUUUAGGCCACGGUAGCAAGUGUUCUUUAAGGAGCUGUGGGAGUAAUAGAAAAGGGUAUUUUCCACGAAGGGCUUUUUUUCGAAUCAUAGAAUCGAUAAAAGAUAGAAUCGUUUAGACCGGAACUCUUCUAUGGCCUUCUGCCCUAUAAAGCAUUCCUACAAAGGGCUUACGCAUGGAAGACUGCCUUACAGAAGGUAAAUAUCUUAUUCAACCGAUUGAUGAUCGAAAGAAGACAAGAAGCAUCUCCUUCGGUUCCGGGUUCUAGUUAAGGUUCCUAUCCUAGAAAAAGUUCCAACCGGCGGCAUUCAAAAGGAAGGUUCUUACCUAAUUGAUUAGAGCGAUGCCCAUUGAUUUGCAAAGAGUUUAGUUAUUCCUAUUGAGCGCGGGAGGGCCACUGACUAUUUGUUGAUAGAGAACAAGCCAAAGCCAACGCGUCAAAGUCAAGUCAAAUUCAAGAAAAUCAAGCCCGGUGGCACUCACUGGCCGAGACUGGGCCUUAAGCUGACUAUUCUAUAGACCGGGAAAGAGAUCAAUAGAAUAUCGGGGACAGAAGAAAGAAGCAAUUGGGUUCCCCAUAUGAUGCUACCUUGUACGAACCCACUACUUAUCCAUUCGGGGCUGCUAGAGGCAGGGAAGGAAUGGUUGGGAGUAGUCAGUCUUCCAGACUUCUACGAAUGAAUGAUUUCGGAGUGAAAGGUCUUCGUAGAUCUCCCCUCUCGUUUUCUUUUCACUCGAGCGACAACGUGCCUUACAUAUAAGAGAUUAUAUGCUAGCAGCAAGAUUGCUUAAUCAACUAUCGUAGCCUAUGGGUAUAGGAUACGAGCGGUUAAGAGUUCUUGGCUUGAUAAGGUACGUUUAGUCACUCGACUUAAAGGAGAGGCUUAAACCCUUUAAAAGGCCAGGACCAAAGCUAGAAGGCAUGCCCAGCCACCUAAAGGUAGAAAGCCAGGCUAAAGAUAGAAUACUAACGGAUGACAGAAGAAAACAUACCAAAGGGUACGAAGCGAGAGGUACGUAAGUAACUCAUACAUUAGUGUAUGAGGAACGAUCUUGACUGAUUGCUUCAACGCUUGGCUUUCUAAGGAUAGUAAGUGAGUCGAGCUCAACUUAAGUGAUCUUAUGCCCUAUGAUCUUGAUCUUCUUACUGAUAAACCAACGUUUAACGAUUCAUCAAUCGUUAAGCGUAUCUCCUUCACUUGUAGUUAUUUAUCAUUCAAUGAAUGACUGAGAAAAGAUCCACUGAUAUUAAUCUAAUCCAACCAGAACCUUUGUUACUUUGUAGUUGUACAUAAACAAAACAUUGCAAGUCCUACUUACGCUUUCUAUUUCGACCCAUCUGGGGGGAUUCAUCCUAUAAUUAUAUUCCAGUAAAAUAUUAUUCCAUUAAAUUUAUUCCAGUAACUAGCAGAAUCGUGGAUAGGGAACUAUACUAGCGACUUACCCCCACUUAUUGUCUAUUGUAGAAAUUUUGGGAUCAACGAUUGGACCAUGGAAACUAGAAAUAUUUUUUCUUGGAUAAAGGAACAGAUUACUCGAUCUAUUUCUGUAUCUCUCAUGAUAUAUAUCAUAACUCGAACAGCCGUUUCAAAUGCAUAUCCCAUUUUCGCACAACAGGGUUAUGAAAAUCCACGCGAAGCAACUGGGCGUAUUGUAUGUGCCAAUUGCCAUUUAGCUAAUAAGCCCGUAGAUAUUGAGGUUCCACAGGCGGUACUUCCUGAUACUGUAUUUGAAGCAGUUGUUCGAAUUCCUUAUGAUAAGCAACUAAAACAAGUUCUUGCUAAUGGUAAAAGGGGGGUUUGAAUGUAGGGGCUGUUCUUAUUUUACCGGAGGGGUUUGAAUUAGCUCCCCCCGAUCGUAUUUCUCCCGAGAUUAAAGAAAAGAUAGGCAAUUUGUCUUUUCAGAGCUAUCGCCCUAAUAAAAAAAAUAUUCUUGUGAUAGGACCUAUCCCCGGUCAGAAAUAUAGCGAAAUAACCUUUCCUAUUCUUUCCCCGACCCCGCUACUAAGAAGGAUGUUCACUUCUUAAAAUAUCCUAUAUACGUAGGCGGGAACAGGGGAAGGGGUCAGAUUUAUCCCGACGGGAGCAAGAGUAACAAUACAGUUUAUAAUGCUACAGGAGCAGGUAUAGUAAGCAAAAUUAUACGAAAAGAAAAAGGGGGAUAUGAAAUAACCAUAACAGAUACGGAUGGACGUCAAGUGGUUGAUAUUAUCCCCCAGGACCAGAACUUCUUGUUUCAGAGGGCGAAUACAUCAAAUUGGAUCAACCAUUAACGAGUAACCCCAAUGUGGGCGGAUUUGGUCAGGGAGAUGCAGAAAUAGUACUUCAAGAUCCAUUACGUGUCCAAGGCCUUUUGUUCUUCUUGGCAUCUGUUAUUUUGGCAAAAAUCUUUUUGGUUCUUAAAAAGAAACAGUUCGAGAAGGUUCAAUUGGCCGAAAUGAAUUGACUCUUUCUAAGACACAACGAAGAUUGGUUACUCUCCUUUGAAGGUGAAGCCCCUUUGAAGGCAAGUCAUGGUAUCCGGGAUCGCACAUCGACUUUGAAACCUCGCAUUCUUUCGUUCCAUCUAUGAUGUCUCCUUGAAGUCAGUAUCGACGCUUGACGCUAGGAAUUGAAUAGUCUUUGAGAAUUCCCUUUGUUUGUUCAAACUUUUAUAACCGUUCGAUAGAGCUAACCAACCUUCCCUAAAAGUGGAGGUAGGAGAUCCAGUUAACGAAUAGGAUAGGGCUGUAGCCGCAACGAGGAAUGCUUUCUCGGAAGCUCUUUCUUCAUCUGAUAGAAAGUGGUUCCUUAUUCUCGGCACUUAUCAAAGUCAUGUAAUCCCUGUGUACUUGUUAUUGAACCAGCUACUUCUUCCCUGGUCCUUUAUUUUAAGCUGCCGCUACGCCCAUUUAGGAAGCAAGAUAGCAUUCAUCUUAUCUGGUUAUCUGGAAGGUGGAACAGCAGAGACAAUAGAACUAGCUAUUUAUUCCCCGAACUGACAUAGUGAAAAAGAAAGGUGCCAAGUUAACAAAUUAAUGCAGUUAAAACAAAAGGCAUGCACACGAUCAAGUGGCCAGAUUGACUUGAAGAUGAGGGAUGGUAAAGUAAAAGAAGGAAAAAGAACUCUACUGCAGUUGUUGACAUUGCACGCACCGGUGAAAUUGACCAACAUAAUGGUACUCCCCCCAAGGAUUGAGAUCAUCAAACUAAGAGGAGACAUUACGGGACAAGAACCUACCUAAGGCGUUCUAAGAGCGGAGAACCUACUGACGAGCACGGACAGACAGUAUACCAUGGGCAGACAUGGGAUCGGCUGUCACACCUCACGCCAGCCAACAUCAGAUCCGAGUCGAACAGAUCUGCCAUAGGACCCACCUUUCCAUUCGUCCAGCAAAGCAAGACCAAGAAAGCUUCCAGAAGAAUAUUUAGGUUUCACAACUGAUCCGCUACUCACCCAAAGUAAGAGGCUCUUGCCAAGACUCUCUUUCCACUCAGAGCACGAUUUGCAAAAGAAAAUAAUGCUAGAAUUACUAAAGUCCAUCAAAAAAGAAUAUUCACACCGGGACUGACAGGUCGAUCGAUGAAAAGUGGAAAUAACGAAUCCUUCUCGUUCCAAUUCAGAUUCUCAGUACCGCGUAUUAAGGUAAAUAGCAUAUUCAAUUUCACUCACAGCGGUGCGGUGGUAAUGUCGUUGCUUCUGAUCUCUCCGCUCUUGCUAGCAAUGACAUUGGAGGAAAAAGGCUCCUCUAGAGACUAGACCUGGUAGCAGGGAAAGCGACUAGUCUUUCUCGUCCAUUCCAUCCCUUUCCCAACCUAUUUUCGCAUCUUUCAAGGCCCCUCUUCAAAUAAGGGAAUUUCGGGUCCGUUAUCCUCAUCUAUCUUCCUCAAUCCAAUUUCCCUCGCUGUCUAUGAUCGUUGCUGUCUUCUUCCGUCUGGGUCGAUUUCUAAACGCUCCGCCUCUAUCUCUUGAAGACCAUUUUCGGAGCUUGGAUUCCGGUGAAUAAAGAAUCAAAAUGACUGUAACUAGAACUCUCACUUGACUCACCCCCUGGACUUGUGCUUUUCUUCUCCUUCAUGACUUUCUCUCCUCAUUCGUGCAUCUAGGAGAGCAGCUACUUACUUCUUGACUUUCAACUGACGACCGAAGUCAAGGACUUGACUGGACUGACCACACUGAUUGGCUUUCCUCGUCUAAGAACCAGAAGCAGGCAUUAUAGAAUCUUAAAGCAAGCUUUCCUACUUUCACUCGAGCAGCCGAUUUGUGAACAGACAGGAGAGAGGCUGACCCACUUUCUUCUAAGAAGGACAGACAGGCUUUCAUAAACCUUGGCUUGCUUACCUGGAAUGGAAGACUGAAGCGCUAAUGCACUGAUUUCAAGCCUUUA
rnacentral:lncRNA from 1 species